rnacentral:tRNA from 4 species
GGUCCCGUAGUUCAACGGAUAGAACUGAUGCGUCCUAAGCGUCUAAUGGCAGUUCGAUUCUGCCCGGGGCCACCC